AAGACAUAAUCAUAUGAUAUGAAUUUUUUCUUGAGACACACAAGACAAAGCCCCACCUAAUGAAACAGUAGUCCUGUUUUCUUUCAGUUAGACAUCUGAGUUUUGGAAUGGCUUAGUCCAUACGGAGCAAUCUUUGUUUCACUUUCCAGGCCAGAACAAAUUUAUGCCCAGCUUACUUGGUACACACAUAAAGAAACUCAGAUCUGUCUGCAGCCAUGUGUAUAUGCUUGCCAUAUCUUGAACUCUUUUCUUCUGUGCAGAGCUGUAUAGGUAGGAAGCAGGAUCAGAAUCAUAGCAACUAUUCUCCUUUCUCAUGCUAAAAUAUUCUGAUGGAUCACCAUCAGCUGCCAAGCCUUCUGCUGCAAUUUUGCCCUGGGAAAUGUGGCAUAAGGUGAAGAUUUUCUGUGAGAGUUCACAAAAUAUAUGCUUUCACCAUAUCAGGAGGUACUUCUGCAUCCUGUGAAGAGGUGGUGGCUGAGUCAGCAUGGUCCACUCCUCCUUCAAGUGAGAGUGCUAUUUGAAAAUGGGAUUUAAUACCAAGGCUUGACACUAAGAAGGAUGAUGGUGUGAGAUGGUUAGCAUAUGUGACACUACCGGCUGAAAGCAGAGGCAUACAAUUUCUCCUGACAAAACCACAUCUACUACAAGCAGGAAGAAAGUUGCAUGCUACGCCUGAUAACUUCCUGAGAUCACCUUCCUGCACAUGUAGGAAAAAUCUUUCAGGUUGUGGAUCAAGUAGAUUUAAAACAAUCUUGGCUUCAUUUAGAACAUCUUUGCUUUCAAGAGACACCCUACAACAUAUUCCAAAGUCCAGUCUUUUAGUGUUUGCAAAUAUUAUUUGUUAAUUCUAUGAAGCUUUUAUUGUAAAGAAACAAACAAACAAAAUAUUUAAAUAUUGUGUAGAUUUGUUUGGAGAUCAGAAUAGUAAUGUCUAUGUGUAUGAAUGAUUAUUAUAGAAGUAUAAACUACUGAUAAAAUAGAGACAGAAUUUGUGCUAUCAGCCACAGUCAUCCAUUUUGUAAUUAUGUAAUUAUCCAUUUUUGUAAUUAUUAAAAGAUAACAUUACAGUAAGAG
rnacentral:lncRNA from 1 species